CGAAACUGUGGAAAUCAACACACCAACUAAUCGUCUGGUUUCAAAUGUUUUUACCGAACACCCGCUAUCUGUCGAAAAUGAAGUUCCGGGACUUGAAGGGGCGGAAAAUUAUUUUGAAAAGCAGACCGAAUCAAAACAGUCCAGUUAUCAAUCAGAAGAUUCGGACGCAACUGCCAAUCAAAUUAUCAAAACAAACGACUUGAUUU